UAAUAUUACCGCGAGACCGAUCGCGAACAAGUACCGUGAGGGAAAGUUGAAAGAAACUUUUGAAGAGAGAGUCAAGAGUACGUGAAACCGUUCAGGGGUAAACCUGCGAAACUCGAAUGAACGAACGGAGAGAUUCAUCGUCAUCCCGCGGCGUACUAGUGCGCGCCACGAUGCCGGCGUCCCGCUUCGCGGCGACGACGCUAGCACGGGACGCACGUGUCGACGCUCGCGGGCGGCGUGCACUUCUCUCUCAGUAACUAAACGACAUCGCGACCCGUUCGCGCCGUCGGUCUAAGCCCGGCGACCUGGAGCCGGGCGGCCGUCGUCCCCUCGCGGGGCGCGACGCGCCGCCCGACCUGACCGCCGGUGCCGACCGACCGCGGACGGUAUUCGGCCAUUGUGCAUACGAAUCGCGCACGUGCAAUCUUUGCACGCACGUCAGGCCCGACGCAAGCGUUCAAUAUGAUGCGCGUCGUCGCCCGUGCGCCUGCCGUAGCGCGGACGCGGGCGCGGCGCCGCUGUUUUUUCGUACAGCCGUGUAGCCUUUGACAGUGCGCGUGUCGUGUCUGCGAUGUUCUAGUUUCGGGCACUCGCAGGACCCGUCUUG
rnacentral:rRNA from 2 species